UGAACUAACAGAGAACUGUAUUCCAACUAUUGGUAACUUCAUUCAGAUAAUUUCACCCUCUGUAAGAAAUAACACUGAACACUUAUUGAGCACUUACCUUAUAAGCAUAGUAGUUCAUGUAAUCCUCGCCACAAACUGAGAAGUCAAUCUAUGUGGGUUCCUUCCAUUUCACAGAUAAGGGGAAAUUGGAGCUCAGAGAUUUAAGCCACCUGCCAGAGGUCACAUGGCCCAUAAAAGGUCUGUCCCAUUCCACCAAGGAUUUAAGGCUAAAGAUUUAAGUUGUGAAGAUGAUAAUGGAUUGACUCUAUGAAUGGCCACAUUUUUUUAUGCCUCCCUUUUCCCUUGUCCUCGGGCAGUGUCCUCCGACACUGACUCUGUGCUUGGCCCUGUGACUUGCUUUGGCCAAUGGUACAGCAGCAAACUUGAUGCAAACACAACUUGAAAAAGAAGAGGACAGCCAAGUCAUCCCAGCCAAGGCCACCCUGGACCAGCCAGCCUCUUGCCAAGCUGCCAGUGACCACAGAGUCCAAUUAACAACAGCCAGUCCUGGCCCAGGUCAGCACACCCAUGAGAAAGAACUUGCUAUCAUUUAAAGCCAUGGGUUUGGGGGUGGUUUGUUGCAC
rnacentral:lncRNA from 1 species